GUGAACAUAGUUUAACCAAAGCACUAGGUUGUGGACCUAAAAAUGGGGGUUAAAAUCCCCUUGUUCACC
rnacentral:tRNA from 1 species